UACGUAGGGGGCAAGCGUUGUCCGGAAUCAUUGGGCGUAAAGAGCUCGUAGGCGGUCUGUCGCGUCGGUCGUGAAAACUUGGGGCUUAACCCUGAGCUUGCGGUCGAUACGGGCAUGACUGGAGUUCGGCAGGGGAGACUGGAAUUCCUGGUGUAGCGGUGAAAUGCGCAGAUAUCAGGGGAACACCGGUGGCGAAGGCGGGUCUCUGGGCCGAUACUGACGCUGAGGAGCGAAAGCGUGGGGAGCGAACAGG
rnacentral:rRNA from 1 species